rnacentral:rRNA from 1 species
UACGGAGGGUGCAAGCGUUAAUCGGAAUUACUGGGCGUAAAGCGUGCGUAGGCGGCCAUUUAAGUUGGAUGUGAAAGCCCUGGGCUCAACCUGGGAACUGCAUCCAAAACUGAGUGGCUUGAGUGCGGAAGAGGAGUGUGGAAUUUCCUGUGUAGCGGUGAAAUGCGUAGAUAUAGGAAGGAACACCAGUGGCGAAGGCGACACUCUGGUCUGACACUGACGCUGAGGUACGAAAGCGUGGGGAGCAAACAGG